UACGGGGGGAGCAAGCGUUGUUCGGAUUUACUGGGCGUAAAGGGCGCGUAGGCGGUCGUGGCAAGUCACUUGUGAAAUCUCCGGGCUUAACUCGGAACGGUCAAGUGAUACUGUCGGACUAGAGUACAGAAGGGGCAACUGGAAUUCUCGGUGUAGCGGUGAAAUGCGUAGAUAUCGAGAGGAACACCUGCGGCGAAGGCGGGUUGCUGGGCUGAUACUGACGCUGAGGCGCGAAAGCCAGGGGAGCGAACGGG
rnacentral:rRNA from 1 species